rnacentral:rRNA from 1 species
UACGUAGGGUGCAAGCGUUGUCCGGAAUUAUUGGGCGUAAAGCGCGUGUAGGCGGCCCGAUAAGUCCGCUGUGAAAUCUCGAGGCUCAACUUCGAGCUGUCGGUGGAAACUGUCUGGCUAGAGUCCGGAAGAGGAGAAUGGAAUUCCUGGUGUAGCGGUGAAAUGCGCAGAUAUCAGGAAGAACACCCGUGGCGAAGGCGGUUCUCUGGGACGGUACUGACGCUGAGACGCGAAAGCGUGGGGAGCGAACAGG